rnacentral:rRNA from 1 species
CAGUCGCCGCGGUAAUACGUAGGUGGCAAGCGUUGUCCGGAAUUAUUGGGCGUAAAGGGCUCGCAGGCGGUUUCUUAAGUCUGAUGUGAAAGCCCCCGGCUCAACCGGGGAGGGUCAUUGGAAGCUGGGAAACUUGAGUGCAGAAGAGGAGAGUGGAAUUCCACGUGUAGCGGUGAAAUGCGUAGAGAUGUGGAGGAACACCAGUGGCGAAGGCGACUCUCUGGUCUGUAACUGACGCUGAGGAGCGAAAGCGUGGGGAGCGAACAGGAUUAGAGACCCGCGUAGUCCCUGUCUCUUAUAC